UACAGAGGUCUCAAGCGUUGUUCGGAUUCAUUGGGCGUAAAGGGUGCGUAGGCGGCGCGGUAAGUCGGGUGUGAAAUCGUUGGAGCUUAACUCCGAAACUGCAUUCGAUACUGCCGUGCUUGAGGACUGGAGAGGAGAUUGGAAUUUACGGUGUAGCAGGUGAAAUGCGUAGAUAUCGUAAGGAAGACCAGUGGCGAAGGCGGAA
rnacentral:rRNA from 1 species